CACAUCCCCAGGUCGGAGAACGCCCGUGCCGACGCACUCUCCAGAUUGGCAACGUCGGCCUACGACUCUUUGGGUCGGACGUUCGUCGAAAACCUCCAGCAGCCGAGCAUCGAUCGGGUCGAAGAAGUGCAGCAGCUAACGUCCGAACCAAGUUGGAUGGACCCGAUCGUCCGGUACCUGACCGACGGAAUCAGUCCUGAAGAUCCCACGGAGGCCAAGCGACUCCGAUGGUCGGCCUC
rnacentral:lncRNA from 1 species